rnacentral:lncRNA from 1 species
AAAAUGUUAUUCUCAAGGAGCUUGCAGAAAUAAAAGUUCUUUUAAAAGAAGUUAUAGAAAUUAAGCUUCAGGCUACUGGGGUGAAGUUGCUAGAAUCGGUGGACGAAGUGGUUACACUGGAUAAUAAACUAAAAGAUAAAACCAACUUGAUAGUUUAAAAAAGAUUGGUGGUGGAAAGCCAAGAGAACAUGUUUUUUUGAUCAUGAAAAGGUUAUUUUCGAAUCAGUUACAGUCCAAAUUAAAUCGAAAAGGAAAUGAGGAAAAGAUAAGCUUAGUAAAUCUAGUAAAUAUAUGGAGUGUUUUACGAGAUAUCGGCGACGUCGAAGAAAAUGUUGACGGCAAUGCAGAAAUAUAGUUUCUUAUGUAUAUUUUUGUGAAAUAAAAAUUAAGUAAUGUUAGUUAAAA